rnacentral:rRNA from 1 species
GAGGGGUAUAGUUGCAAUACUAGUAGACCGGCGCACGGGUGCGUAACGCGUAUGCAAUCUACCUUAUACAGAGGGAUAGCCCAGAGAAAUUUGGAUUAAUACCUCAUAGCAUAGCAACUUCGCAUGAAGUCACUAUUAAAGUUCCAACGGUAUAAGAUGAGCAUGCGUCCUAUUAGCUAGAUGGUAAGGUAACGGCUUACCAUGGCUACGAUAGGUAGGGGUCCUGAGAGGGAGAUCCCCCACACUGGUACUGAGACACGGACCAGACUCCUACGGGAGGCAGCAGUGAGGAAUAUUGGACAAUGGGCGCAAGCCUGAUCCAGCCAUGCCGCGUGCAGGAAGACGCAUCUAUGGUGUGUAAACUGCUUUUGUACGGGAAGAAACACUCCCUCGUGAGGGAGCUUGACGGUACCGUAAGAAUAAGGAUCGGCUAACUCCGUGCCAGCAGCCGCGGUAAUACGGAGGAUCCAAGCGUUAUCCGGAAUCAUUGGGUUUAAAGGGUCCGUAGGCGGUUUGGUAAGUCAGUGGUGAAAGCCCAUCGCUUAACGAUGGAACGGCCAUUGAUACUGCCAGACUUGAAUUACUGGGAAGUAACUAGAAUAUGUAGUGUAGCGGUGAAAUGCUUAGAUAU